CUUUUGCCAGUUCACGUCAAUGGGCAAUAGACCUGAGCGCGGCUCAGGUUAAUAGAACUCCCUCAUUGUUCUGUCUGAAGUUAGCCGCGCCUACCUACCACAUCAUCUACAUCUGAGCCGGAGUCCUUCCUGAUCUACAUCCACAUCUACAUGAGACUGUGUCUACGCAUUGAAAACUGCAUAGGACUACACAUCCAUCCCAGAACGAAAGCAAUGUUGAGAAGAACGGCUCUCGCUUGGGGCUUCCAAGGAGAAUGAUCCUGAGAUCAGAUGAACCAAGACUCCUGAAGAGCCACCACCAACAAUGGCUGAGCUGCUACAACUUUGAGGAGAAGUCGCCACGCAACACAAGAUGCAGUUAGCACACCUGAGCUUUCCCUAUUGUCAGAUUUCCCGGGAAGUGUGAAA